GCCAAUGUGGUGUAAUGGUUUGAACAUUGGACUAGAAUUCUAGAGACCAGGGUUCAAGUCACCACUCGGCCA